rnacentral:rRNA from 1 species
AUUGAACGCUGGCGGCAGGCCUAACACAUGCAAGUCGAGCGAGCGACGGACGGGUGAGGAAUGUCUGGGAGACUGCCUGAUGGAGGGGGAUAACUACUGGAAACGGUAGCUACUCCCGCGUACCAUCAGAUCUGCCCAGAUGGGAUUAGCUAGUUGGUGGGGUAACGGCUCACCAAGGCGACGAUCCCUAGCUGGUCUGAGAGGAUGACCAGCCACACUGGAACUGAGACACGGUCCAGACUCCUACGGGAGGCAGCAGUGGGGAAUAUUGCACAAUGGGCGAAAGCCUGAUGCAGCCAUGCCGCGUGUGUGAAGAAGGCCUUCGGGUUGUAAAGCACUUUCAGCGGGGAGGCGUUACCCGCAGAAGAAGCACCGGCUAACUCCGUGCCAGCAGCCGCGGUAAUUC